rnacentral:sRNA from 1 species
AAAGAAGGUGAUGCCGAAGCUGAGGUCGGAAAUUACGAAGAUCAGCUAUCAAACUUGGAAAUCAUGUCUUAGAGAUCAAGGAGCCAAGAGAUGAGACAAGCCUGGGUUCCUAGGUGAUAGGGUGUGGCUGUGUCCCCACCCAAAUCUCAUCUUGAAUUGUAGCUCCCAUAAUCCCCACAUGUUGUGGAGGGACCCUGUGGAAGGAAGGCCUGAGGAGAGAAGACACAUAGUCAUGCUGACUAAACCAGAUCACCUAGAAUUACCAAAUGGAAAGCAUCUACUUGUUUCCAAAGUUAUUUGGGUCAGCAUUUUCCUCCACCCACCACUUAAAACUGAUUUGUUUCAUACAUUUGAAAUGUAUGAAAAGCCAGAAAUCCAGGACCCACCCUGGCCUGCUCCCUUUUUCUCACCUACUGUGUUAAGGAUAAGUCAAUUGAGCUUCACUUCUCUAAUUGAAAUCACCGUGCUGAUGGAGUCUGUCUGUGGAAAUGAAAGGUGGCUACCAUAAUCUGUUGGGAGUUGAAUUAAUCCUCUGGGAGUGAGGCUGACCUAAUUACUCAGAAAUACUGGGCUUGCUUUCAUUCUGUGGAAUACAGCCAUGAGAAAGAGGCCAGCAUGCCAUUUCCUAAUCUUUUCUUGAAUUGCCUGAAACUCACCUAACAUGAAACUGAGAAGCCUUUUCAUUUGAAAGUGGUAUUUCUUAUGUUUUUUAUCUUUUUGCUUGAAAGUAUUCUUAAACUAAAGAAAGGAGAAACAGAAAAGGUGAAGAAGCCAAGAGGCUGGAGUUUCCUUUUGAAUGGAUAUUCAUCCAUGAAGCUGUUGAUUCUGUUUUUCUGUUCCUCCAGAUGUCUACACUUUUACCUCUGCUUGCCUGAUACAACCACCACCAGUCACCUCACAGAAUAACUCACUCCUUAAGAAUCUGAUCAGGAAUCAGCCUUCCCUGAUCACAAACACUGAGUUUAGAAGUCCCUCCACAGUGUCCCCCGUAACCCUGUGCUACCUCACUGCCUCAUAGUUUAGUGCCGUUUGUGUACAUGCCUAUCUUCGUCCAUGGAUCCAGAACAACUUGUAAAAAUGACUGUACUUAUCACCUUCAGUAUUCAAUGACUAAACUAUAAUUUUAACAUAUCUGGCAGAAUGAAUCACUUGGGGAUUUCUGCCAACACUACCAAUAUAUUACUCCUAAUUUGUAAUUAUUACUUAGCAUGGAUUAUAGUACCGGCUGUUGGAGAGCCAAUGUGGCAGACCCUAAGUGGAAUAAAAUGUCAGUAGCAGUCUAGGAGCAUAUAUUUAUUGGAAUAGAUCAUUCAUUCAUUUGUUCAUUAACUAAUUUGUUCAUUAAAUAAACAUUUAUUAAGCA